rnacentral:rRNA from 1 species
AGCAGCCGCGGUAAUUCCAGCUCCAAUAGCGUAUAUUAAAGUUGUUGCAGUUAAAAAGCUCGUAGUUGAAUUUCGGAAUCGACGGAUUGGUCGCGCCUUCGGUGUGUACUGGUCUUGCCGGUUUCUCCCUUCUGACGAACCACGAUGUCAUUAAUUUGGUGUCGUGGGAAAUCAGGACUGUUACUUUGAAAAAAUUAGAGUGUUUAAAGCAGGCAUUAGCUUGAAUACAUUAGCAUGGAAUAAUGAAAUAGGACGUUUGAUCUUAUUUUGUUGGUUUCUAGGAUCGACGUAAUGAUUAAUAGGGAUAGUUGGGGGCAUUAGUAUUCAAUUGUCAGAGGUGAAAUUCUUGGAUUUAUUGAAGACUAACUACUGCGAAAGCAUUUGCCAAGGAUGUUUUCAUUAAUCAAGAACGAAAGUUAGGGGAUCGAAGACGAUCAGAUACCGUCGUAG